AGUAUCUACUCUGCCUGAGAUGUUGUGGUACAUCAGUGUUGAAAGGGUCAGCAACUACACCAUCCUUUACUGGCCAAGUUGAUGAUAUAUGUAUGCCACAGUCAACAAAUACUGUUAGAGAAUGACCAGGUGGCACUGUCAUAAACACAGAGAAAAUACUAUUUUCUGUAUCAGUAUGGAACCUUGGUUCUACAGAGUUUAUUUGGUUUUCAUUGUGAUUGGUUUGUGGAGAUUUAUCUUGAGGGAUGAAAGCUGGUGAUCUAAUUACUGAUCCAAUAGAAGCAGUUUUUCACUUGUGUAUACAGAUCAUUCAAAAGUGGUAGAAAUGACUUCAAAGUUAUUUCAAAACAACUAAGGCAAAGAGAGACUCAAAAAGAUUGCAGUUAAAGUGAUUCUGUUGCAGGUGCCAAGCUUAAUGCUUUGGAAUUCCUUUAGCAUCAAUAUUGGGAGAUAAUGAAAUUCCACAGUCCUUUGGGCUCACAAACAUCUCUUUCUGCUGCUCACACAGAAAAUGCAGUAGUUACCUGUGGACUGGUUAGGCUCUAGAAUAUCGUGUCUACAGAUAAGCUAGGUAGAGGAACAUACAAAGUAGAAGGUCAGGACACACUCAUUCAAAGGAGUCUUCAUCUUCUUGAAGCAUUCUUUCAUGGCAGGAUGUUUUUUUACAAGGCUUACCUGGCCUUACUGCUUCAAGCAGUUUUUCAACUCUGGAACAGACACAUGGAGUUUCAUUUCCUGUGCCGCAAUGAAAAAUCAGCAGGAAGAACAAGAGCUAGAGGAGGUUGUAUUUGGUAGAAGUGGGUCCACCACUUUGAUGUUAGUUGGUGGUAGAUCAAGUUUCUCCUGCAGUUACUGUCCAAAAAAGUUUAAAGAAAAACGACUGUUGAAACAGCAUCAGAAUCUUCACUCUGCCGAUACUUUAUUAUGUGAAUACUGCAAUGCCACUUUUCGUUGGAGGUCACAACGACUAAAGCAUAUCAGAGAUCAUCAUGCAUAAUAAUAUGCAAACUGUGGCUUACAGUAAAUCAUGUGUUUGUGACUGUAUCCAAACAAGUCAGCUUACACAGGUAUUCUGUUUAUUUACAUGUUGAUUUUGUUGCAUUUCAGUGUUAAUUAUCAGGCCUUUUUUCUAAUUCAGAUAUUUUGUAUAUAUUAUUUCAGGAAUUUUUUUGUGCUUGAUAUGUUUCCUUUGAUCAAAUGAUUUUAUUGAAAAUUACUUAGCACUUUUUAAGUGCAUGAAAAAAUCAUGCAUUUGAAACUCAAGGAAAAAGCUAAACUAUUUUAUUUUAGAUUGAUAUUUAAUUAUAUGCUAAAAUGUGUUAAUAAAAUAUUUUUUGCUUUAAAACACAAAAUAAAACUGAGAAGAUCAACAGUAUUUUGAGACUACACAUUUUUCCAAGUGUUAAAAUUAACAUGUUCAAAUGUUUAAUUUUCACAGCAGUAACAAUAUUAUCAACUUUCUUUUUGAAUGAUUACAAAUUGUUUAAUUUCAAAAAUACUUGCUGAUUAACCAACUUAUGGAUUACAGCAUUUUGCUUGAUAAUUAUCUUUAGACUCGUACCUUUUUUUCGAAGUAUGUGUUUUUGGAUAAUACAUGUGUUGUUAAUUUUGUUUAGAAAAAUUGUUUUGCAUUUCAAGCCAGAACUGAGAACUAUGUUUUAACUUCAAAAUACUCCCUUGAGGUACAUGUGUGUGUGUGUGUAUAAUUUUUACCAAUAAAAGUAUUUUUUUUACCAAAAGGUCAAAUAUUAAUUCUGAUAGCAAACUUUGUCUUUUAUUUAAACCCUGUGAGAACUGUGUAUGUGUGCAGUUCUGUUUUUAGGGGUGUUGUGAAUUUAAUAUUUUACAUAUGCAAUUUGGGUGUCAAGAAUAUUUUAGUUCUUUUAGUUUAUUAGAUAGUGUCAAUUAAAAAUUGUAAGUACAUUAAAAGUUUAGAGAUGGCUUGACUGGGCAAUGAAGAAAACUUUAUUAUAAAUGUAUGACUUUUCAACAAGAUUAUCUCAUCCUCAGGUACAAAUAGUUUACAGAGACACAUGAAUGUAUGUACAGUAUAACAAAGGGAUCAUGUGACCAGAGAUUGCUUCACAGCCUAGUUAGUAUAGGUAUCUUGGUACCCCAAGGUGUUGGUUUAGGGUGUGGCUGUUUUGUUCAUUUAAGAUAGCUUCUAUUCAGCAUUUAUUGAUGUUUGGUUCUUUGUUCAAAAUCACAGUGUUUUGUAUAGAUAUACUCUGGUUUUGUGAACUACAAUGGUGGUAAACAUAGGAGAGUUUAUUAUUAUGUUUGGUGAAUCUGGUUUCCAAUAUAUAAAUGGGUUACUCAUCAUUAAAUUUAAAGUACUUUGUCCUGUUAACUCCUUCUUUGUAUGAGUAAUUUUCUGUAUUUGUUUUUGCUGUUAUUGUACUUUGCAUAUGAUUAAGUGUAAUGUUUAGAAUGAAUAUUAAAAAUACUUUAUAAGCAAUUUUCUGAAAUGCAUGGUUAUGUGCAAGUGCUCUUUUCAAUAAUGAAAGUUCCAAACAGUUGUGAAUUUAAAGUAAAGAAUUUUUUUUUCCAAAUUAAUGACAAAGUAUAUAAGAACUAUUUUAAGACAAUUAUUGGUUUUGUGUAAUAAGUAUUUAUGUGAAGUUUCAAAAAAAAAAGAAAGGGAGAAAUCAGAAAUAAAUAGAAAUGAGAUGAUAUAUGUGAUAGUUUUAUCAACAUUUCAUCAUCACAGGUUACACAGAACUGAUCAUAGAGAGGAUGUGCAAAAGUUGUUACUUCUUUUUUAUGCUAAGUUUUCAAGCUGAGAUAUGUUUUAAAUCUUAAAAUGUGUUAUAUUUUAAUUUUAGGCUUACUAAAAUUAUUUGUGUUGUAAAAUGUUUUUAUAAUAGAACUACCAUAAGAAUUAGUUUGAAUCUCAUUGCCAUUGUUUUCAAAACAAGUCCAUAAUGUGAACCAUGUUUUUGAACCAUUGACGUGUCAUAUAUAUAUAUAUGAUGGUCAAAUCCUACUUAAGGGUAGCUCAAGGGCUGAUGGUGGGUGUUGUUGACUGGCCACCUUUAUUCUAGUUUAUCAGUUAAAAAUUAGGGACAAUUAGUGCAGAAUGCCUUUGUGUAGCUUUGCAUGAAUGUUCAAAACAAACAAUCUAAGUGCACAAGGAAUUUUUGGAAAACUGUUCGUAGUUGUUUUCCAAAUUAGUAUUAUGUCUCACAUUACCUUAAAUACUGACAUGAGUUUUUUUAAUAUUAAAGAAAGUUAAGAUGGUUGCUCUUAAAAAUACUUGUCCAAGUUUUUAUGAAGUUAUUAAUAACUUAUGUAUUUAUGAUAAGAAAUUUUAGAAUAGUGAUUUAGAUGGUAAUAUCAAAUUGUGUUCAGUCAUUGUAUAUUUGUUUGUUAUGUAAGAUUAGACCUUCUUAUACUAAUUAAUAUGCUCAACUUUAAUAAACAUAAUCUUUGUUGACUACAAAACACCAGUAAUCAUUCUUUAUUCAUUUUAUUUUUUUUGUAUCAAAGAUUCAAACUAGUUUCUUGCAGUAUUUCUACCAUUAUUAAGCUAUAAUGUGCAAACUACACAAUAAACAAAAUUAUUUUUAUUCUUCACUCUAACUUGUCAGUAUCUGAGCCAGGCUGAUGUCAUCAAUUUGUAGAUAUCUUAAGUAAUACUUUAGUAACACAUCUCACUUUUUGUGUGCAACAGACGUGUAUUUUGCUGAAAGCUUGCCACUUUUGUGUAGAUACAUAUAGUAAAUUUAGAAGUAUACUCAGCAUUCCUUCUCCAGUAUAGAGUCAGUCCAAUGGACAAACCCAAUGCACAUUUGAUUAAUAUCAAGUGUUCUGUGAUAAUAGAAGCAACAUUAUUUCUGCAGUUAUAAUCAUCAGGAACACACUUUAAUUUUCUAAAUUAGUAAAAGAUAAUACCUGCAGUUUCUAUAUUUUUUUUAGUUCAUUUAUGAGAAUAGUAAUAGGCAACAUCUGUAUUGUGAAAACUUCCAAAAUUAUUGUUUUUGUCUACAGAAAGUUUGUUUUAGAAGUUUUUUGGCCCAGUUUUUGAUGUAGGGAGUGUAAAUGUUCAUUAUAUUUUUAUUAGUUGACAACAUGUCAGUUGUAAUUUUAUUAAGAUGUCAGUUUAUUUUAAUAAUGAAAAAUUUCAAAUGUUGAGGGAUUGUUAUUCAAGUUUGGAGUAAAGAGAUAACCCCUUAAUCCACGAAAGGUUUAAUGUGGAUGAGCUCAAUAUUUAGAUAUUUUGCUAAAACUGGUACUUUACCUUGACAUUUUAAAAUUGAUGAAGCUGGUAUUUAACAACUGUUAAAUCUGAAAAGAGAAGUACAUUUUAAUGUAAUGUUAAAUAACUUAAAAAUAGAAAAAAUAAAAGGCAGUAACAUUAAUAGUCUAAACUUAACCAGCUUGUCAUUAAUCUUAAGGUACUUGGAUUUUUGAGAAUUGGAAUAAUGUUUUUGAAAAAGAUAUUCUAAACUCAGAAGGAUAGCCAAGGUAUUUGAAAUCAGAAUUACCUGAAACACACAUAAAAAGACACUUUAAAUGAUGUAUUCAGUUAAUGUUACAUACCGUUACAUAGUUUAUGGAAUUGUUACAUAUUAAGUAGUAAAAUGCAGUGUUCUCUUUUAGGUUAGAACAGAAAAACAAUUUGUGUCUUAUUUUUUCUUGGGUUUUCAUUAUUUUUACUUUAACUUAGUUUCUUAGUGUUAUGAUUUGAUGUAAAUGCUGAAAAUUAUCAAACACCAAAAAUAUUCCUUAUUCUAGAGCUAUUCAGGUGGUAACCUUACUGAAUACAAAAGAUAAUGCAACCAACGGUGACUCGAAAAAUUCAUGAGAACAAUGGGCAAUUAAUAAAUUUUACCAGAAUUACUGAAUUGUCAAAAGCACCCUAAGCACAUAACUGUUAGAAUUUUGCUAGUGCAAAAGUAUCUAAAGUGUUUGAGGGACAGUCAAGGUGAUGUUAGUCAUAAAUAAAGCUUAGUACAUGAAGAAAGUUGGUAAUUUCAAAUAUAGUCCAUUUGCUGGAUUUUAUCACACUUUUUAAAGUAAUCUGAGCAAGUUUUCCUUUUUUUUUAUCAGACUAGAUAUCAGCUUGUUAAAAUAAUAAUGUUAGCAAUUGAUGCAAAUUAAUAUUGAUAUAUUUUUUGAAUGUCCAUUGAAAAUACUUGCAUCUAAAAUCAGGUUUUUACAUUUUUUGAAUACUUCAAAGUAUUCACAGUUUAAAUGUUUACAGUCUAUUGAAAUUAUUUUAAUAAAAUGGGUUACUUGUCAUUCUGCUAGAUAUGUUUUUCAUUGAAGCUUAAGGUACUAGAUGAAGGUUUGUGGAUUAUAUUUUUUGCCUCUCUUUUUUUUUUUUCCUUCAUUACUUUUAUAUUGAAAUGAUUAAUUAUUGUUGUUUACUUAGGAAUUUUGUUUCUUUCAGAGAAUAAUUUGGCUUGCUCUUUGGAUUCAAGAACUUUGUAAGAUUAUUAAGGGUAGAAAGACACACCAAAAUCCCAAUAUCUUUCCAGUGUCAGAUCUGUAACAGAUUUAUUUUAUCUCCAAGCCAUCGUUUUGAGUCCGUAUUUAUCAGUAAUACUGAAAAAUGUUUGGUUGUGAAUGUUGUGGAAAGUGCUUCACAUGAAACUAUACCAUAAACAAACACAUUCAAAUAUCUCACAAAUUCUUAUAUUAAAAAUAGUAUGCUGAGUUAUUCAUAUUGUAGCUGGUAUAUUUUGUUCUUAGAAAAAAAAUAUUUUUAAGAAUGUUUUUCAUGGCAUAACUAUCAACCAGUGAAUUAUGAUUUGUGGUUUUUCUUUAAUUUUUAAAACUCAACUGUAUAAAAGUACUCCAAAGUUUUGUUAUGCUGUCCAGUUAUUAAUUCUAUAUUAUUUAUAAAUUGUAUCUGCUUGUCUUGUAGAAGUAAAAGUUUCAUUUGAAAUACGAGAACUUAGAAUUUGUACAAUUAAGUGUUGUAUAUCUAUUUUUAUAAAUUUAUAUGCGAGUUUUUGUUUAGUUUGAAAUUGUAAAGUUAGUGUUUGUAGAAUCCCAUAAAACUAUUACUAUAUAUAGGUGUGAUGUGUUACACAGAUAAUCCUUUGGUGCUUAUUGGACAAUUUUUGAACAUGAAAGUAAUUCAGCAAUUUUCUUUGAUUAUCUAAUUUCAGUUAGUCUUAAAAAAACAAUAUUACCAGUAACUGCAACUGGCUUGUAAGAAGAAAUUAGCAAAUCCUUGAUUUGAAAAUAUGACUCCUUGUUUGUCAACUGAUAUUUUUUCUUUAUUUGUGGAUACAAAAUAUAUUGAAUUUCCAUAUAUAUUGUGUUGU